UACGGGGGGAGCAAGCGUUGUUCGGAUUUACUGGGCGUAAAGGGCGCGUAGGCGGCCACCGCAAGUCGGUUGUGAAAUCUCCGGGCUUAACCCGGAAAGGUCAAUCGAUACUGCGGGGCUAGAGUGCAGAAGGGGCAACCGGAAUUCUCGGUGUAGCGGUGAAAUGCGUAGAUAUCGAGAGGAACACCUGCGGCGAAGGCGGGUUGCUGGGCUGACACUGACGCUGAAGCGCGAAAGCUAGGGGAGCGAACGGG
rnacentral:rRNA from 1 species